rnacentral:rRNA from 1 species
AACGCGAAGAACCUUACCUGGCCUUGACAUCUACGGAAUUCUGCAGAGAUGCGGAAGUGCCUUCGGGAACCGUAAGACAGGUGCUGCAUGGCUGUCGUCAGCUCGUGUCGUGAGAUGUUGGGUUAAGUCCCGCAACGAGCGCAACCCUUAUCCCUAGUUGCCAUCGGGUCAAGCCGGGCACUCUAGUGAAACCGCCCAGGAUAACUGGGAGGAAGGUGGGGAUGACGUCAAGUCCUCAUGGCCUUUAUGUCCAGGGCUACACACGUGCUACAAUGGUCGGUACAAACCGUCGCAAACCCGCGAGGGGGAGCUAAUCGGAAAAAGCCGGCCUCAGUUCGGAUUGGAGUCUGCAACCCGACUCCAUGAAGCUGGAAUCGCUAGUAAUCGCGGAUCAGAACGCCGCGGUGAAUACGUUCCCGGGCCUUGUACACACCGCUAGUC